AUCACCAAGAGAAAAAGGAGAGAAAGUUCUUGGUUCAUAAAUCUUCAAAGCUUGAUUUCUUCUGAACUAAAACUCAAAUCAAAACACCGAUUUCACCAAAAUGAUCCUCUCUUCUUCCUCUACAUAACCAUGUGAAUUAUCAAGGCUGGAAAUAAGGAGGAAAAAGUGCUUAAGGACCACCUGAAAGUUUGAUUGAAUUAGGAGCAGCAAAACCAGAUGGAAGCAUGAGUACCCUUCCGUAGUUCGCUGAUGACCGUUCGUAAAGAGAAUUCCGCUCUAGGUAGUCU